rnacentral:rRNA from 1 species
UGAGCAACCUGCCCUUAGCUUUGGGAUAACCCUCGGAAACGGGGGCUAAUACCGAAUGUUCACUGCCGGGCGCAUGUUUGGUGGUGGAAAGUUUUCGGCUGGGGAUGGGCUCGCGGCCUAUCAGCUUGUUGGUGAGGUCACGGCUCACCAAGGCUACGACGGGUAGCCGGCCUGAGAGGGCGAUCGGCCACACUGGGACUGAGACACGGCCCAGACUCCGUACGGGAGGCA